CAAGAAGCCCGAAAGGCUACUUACAACCAUAGCGAACCUAUCCUUCAGCGUUGCUUCGGCGGUAGCGGCUCCCCUCAGGGGGACCGGCCCGCCUCAGGCUGGCCUCAGGCCGCCGCCGCCGGAGGUACGAAACUCUGUAUAAUGCUAGGUAUCUCUGAGUAUACAAGCUAAUAAGUCA
rnacentral:misc_RNA from 1 species